GAGCCGUUAGAGAAAUGGAAUAUCACGUGCCUCUCAAGCACGAGUUGUAGGUUCGAAUCCUAUACAGCUUGCCA
rnacentral:tRNA from 1 species